GCACUCUUGGUUUAGUGGUAAAAUCAACGCUUCCCAUUCUCAUAAGUGAGACUCGAUUGCGUUGGCCCCGGGUUCGAUUCCCGGAGGGUGCA